rnacentral:rRNA from 1 species
GAACCUUACCAGCUCUUGACAUGCCCGGUAUGGGCGGGAGAGAUCCCGUCCUUCGGUUCGGCCGGCCGGGACACAGGUGCUGCAUGGCUGUCGUCAGCUCGUGUCGUGAGGUGUUGGGUUAAGUCCCGCAACGAGCGCAACCCCCAUCUGCAGUUGCCAGCGGUUUGGCCGGGCACUCUGCAGAAACUGCCGGUGACAAGCCGGAGGAAGGCGGGGAUGACGUCAAGUCCUCAUGGCCCUUAUGGGCUGGGCUACACACGUGCUACAAUGGCGGUGACAGAGGGCGGCAAGGGGGCGACCCUGAGCCGAUCUCCAAAAGCCGUCUCAGUUCGGAUUGCUCUCUGCAACUCGAGAGCAUGAAGUUGGAAUCGCUAGUAAUCGCGGAUCAGCAUGCCGCGGUGAAUACGUUCCCGGGCCUUGUCACACCGA